ACCUGCGGAAGGAUCAUUGA
rnacentral:misc_RNA from 1 species